rnacentral:rRNA from 1 species
CCUACGGGGGGCUGCAGUGGGGAAUAUUGCACAAUGGGGGAAACCCUGAUGCAGCGACGCCGCGUGAGUGAAGAAGUAAUUCGUUAUGUAAAGCUCUAUCAGCAGGGAAGAAAAUGACGGUACCUGAGUAAGAAGCCCCGGCUAACUACGUGCCAGCAGCCGCGGUAAUACGUAGGGGGCAAGCGUUAUCCGGAUUUACUGGGUGGAAAGGGAGCGUAGACGGCAGUGCAAGUCUGGAGUGAAAGGCGGGGGCUCAACCCCCGGACUGCUCUUGAAACUGGACGGCUGGAGUGCAGGAGAGGUAAGUGGAAUUCCUAGUGUAGCGGUGAAAUGCGUAGAUAUUAGGAGGAACACCAGUGGCGAAGGCGGCUUACUGGACUGUAACUGACGUUGAGGCUCGAAAGCGUGGGGAGCAAACAGGAUUAGAUACCCGAGUAGUC